rfam:Schistosoma mansoni strain Puerto Rico chromosome 4, complete genome
AUCCAGCUGACGAGUGAUAAAUACGACGAAACACGCGUCCUGGAU